UGGGGAAUAUUGCACAAUGGGGGAAACCCUGAUGCAGCGACGCCGCGUGAACGAAGAAGGUAUUCGUAUCGUAAAGUUCUGUCCUAUGGGAAGAUAAUGACAGUACCAUAGAAGAAAGCUCCGGCUAAAGACGUGCCAGCAGCCGCGGUAAUACGUAUGGAGCGAGCGUUGUCCGGAAUUAUUGGGCGUAAAGGGUACGCAGGCGGUUUAAUAAGUCGAAUGUUAAAGAUCGGGGCUCAACCCCGUAAAGCAUUGGAAACUGAUAAACUUGAGUAGUGGAGAGGAAAGUGGAAUUCCUAGUGUAGUGGUGAAAUACGUAGAUAUUAGGAGGAAUACCAGUAGCGAAGGCGACUUUCUGGACACAAACUGACGCUGAGGUACGAAAGCGUGGGGAGCAAACAGG
rnacentral:rRNA from 1 species